CCUACGGGAGUCAGCAGUGGGGAAUAUUGCACCAUGGGGGAAACCCUGCUGCAGCGACGCCGCGUGAGCGAUGAAGUAUUUCGGUAUGUAAAGCUCUAACAGCAGGAAAGAAGAUGACGGUACCUGACUAAGAAGCCCCGUCUAACUACGUGCCAGCAGCCGCGGUAAUACGUAGGGGGCAUGAGUUAUCCGGAUUUCCUGGGUGUAAAGGGAGCUUAGACGGCGAUGAAAGCUAGAUGGGAAAGCCCGGGCGUCAACCCGGGGACUGCAUUUGGAACUGUGUGGCUGGAGUGUCGGAGAGGCAGGCGGAAUUCCUAGUGUAGCGGUGAAAUGCGUAGAUAUUAGGAGGAACACCAGUGGCGAAGGCGGCCUGCUGGACGAUGACGGACGUUGAGGCUCGAAAGAGUGGGGAGCAAACAGGAUUAGAUACCCCAGUAGUC
rnacentral:rRNA from 1 species